CUCUCAUCACUCUCCCAGCUGCCUCCAGGGAGGCACUUCCAGGUUUCUUGGCCUGUUACGAUGUGUCAGGGCCAGCAUAAAAGGAAGGAUUGUUCAGAUGCUCAUGCUCACUGCCCUGGUGUUAGACUUCUCCACUGCUCUUGGAAUUAGAGAGACUGCACCAAAUAAGACUCUUCCCCUCUUAGUUAAGUUGGUGAUAUUGAUGACUGCCCUCUGCAGGAGAGGGAUCUACAUACAUACAAUUGUGCCUGUGUGUGUUCACUCACCACACCAACAUCGAGUAACAAUCACAAAUACCAGCAUUUUUACUCACACGUGUUUAUUUGGAAACCCAGCCUGAAGCGCCAAAAGCUAUCCAGGACAAGAUCUUAGUAAUGAGAGUAGCAAAAGAGGGCAAGCCAAAUGGUGCCAGGACGUUUAAGCUUAAGCUUGUAUAAGGUCCACAAAUGUUCCAUUACCCAAAGUGAGUACAGGGCCAAGCACAAAGUCAAGGGGGAUAAGUCACAUGACAAACAUACACAGACACAGGUAGGAGUAAUGUUUGGAGCUAAUAAUUCGAUCUACUAAACCUGUCAGUAUGCCAUUCUUGGGGCAUACAGCCAUGUCUACAUCGGUAAAUUGGCAAUUUAAAUGAACCGUGAUAGCUGCUACAAUAGGGUAAGUACAGCAUGAAAUGUGCAUAAUAUGCUCCUUAGAAGCCUGAGUCAGGACUUGGUGUUCUGGUCUCAGGAUAUAACUAUACCUAGAACUUCUUUGGUUUGGAAGAAUCAAAAUGCUCAAGAGAAGCCAGGAAACUUCCCUUCUAGGUUCUAGUGUCUACAUUCACUUCCUGGUGGUAAUAACAUAACCUUUAUAUGCAAAUUUUUAUAUUCUGUACUUGGCCUUGUAAAAGAACCCUGUCAUUGGGUUCUCAUAUAUACUGUGUAUAUGUGUGUAUAGUAUUUCUAUAAGUAUCUAUUGAAAGAGGUGAUUCUGAUAUCCCCUAUAUAAUCCUAACACUCCUGGAUUCAUUCUGGCCUUCUGCUUUUUCAUAUUAUAUAUUGUCUUUUAGCGAGAAAAUGAGAAAACUAGCUCCCAUUAACCACACUAUAUUUUCUUAUUUGCUCAAUUCUAGAGAGCACAUUACAUAGAUUCAUAAUUGCUAACUCAUACUACUUGUAUAACAAACCUACUAACUACUACUACCAGUAACUUGUACAGCCAGCAAUAAUAUUCAGCAACCUCAGACUGAUUUCCCAAGAGGGCAAGGACAGCUUUGUCCCCAUGGAGGGAGCUUCAGAACCAGGAGGGGGUCUAUGAGUAUUUCCUGUAUGUCUCAUAAGUCAGUGUACUGGGACUUGUUCAGGCUUCUGCUGGAACCAGUGUGGAUAGUUACCACUGUUGACUGCUCCAGUGUGAAGCCACAGGUGAGAGUAAAGGUCCCUCCUAAUGACAUGGUCAGUUAGGCUUCCUAUGUCAUCAUAGCCUGUGAAUUGUACUCUGAAAUGAAAACAGCCGGGCACAGUGGCUCACGCCUGUAAUCCCAGCACUUUGGAAGGCCGAGGUGGGUGGAUCACCUGAGGUCAGGGGUUCAAGACCAGCCUAGCCAACAUGGUGAAACCCCGUCUCUACUAAAAAUACAAAAAUUAGCUGGGCACGGUGGCAGGCCCCUGUAAUUCCAACUCGGGAGGCUGAGGCAGGGGAAUCAUUUGAACCUGGGAGGCAGAGGUUGCAGUGAGCCAAGAUUGCGCCGUUGCACUCCAGCCUAGGCAACAAGAGCAAAACCCCGUCUCAAAAAAAAAAAAAAAAAAAGAAAGAAAGAAAGAAAAGAAAACAUAUUUUAGGAAUGAGAAACCAGGGCAGAGGAAUCACUCCAAAGCCCAGUCUGUGAAAUCCCCAUGAACCUGGGCAGUGAGUAAGAAGUAGGAGGAGGAGGAAAGGAGUCCAGGCCAUGGUACAAAGUACCAAGGGCCCAGUGGCCCCAGAGUUGAUGCCAAGCUCUCUGCUGGUUCUUGCAUUCUCUCCUGAAUGCCCUGGAUAAGGGGUAUGUGUGUAGUAUAAAUCUGUUACCUUUACCACUCCUUGCAACUGUGUCCUCAGCUCAGAAAACAGAUCCAUUGCUGGGAGACAAGUUGGUAGGUUGUGACCUUUGAGUUUACCUGAUGAAGAAACCUUUUACGCUGGUCAGUGAGUUCAGAGUGCCUGAAGUUUUAAAGCCCUUAGUUACAGACUAUGCUUACCUCUGAGGGGAUGCACAGUACCCGCUGGUGGCUUCUUCAAGAGAAUGUGAAUAGUGAUGGGGGUAGGGAGGGUGAGUGGUUGCCCAUUCUUUUAUUCAACUAAUAAAAUAAAUAUUGUUUUAAUGCCUAUGAUUUUUUGGCAGCAACUUGUGCUUUCCAUUUUACUUUCUUACUGGUAUCAACUGAUGAACAGAAGCUUUUACUUUUUAUGAAGUUCAAAUUUAACAAAUUUUUCCUGUACCCUUAGUAUCUUUGCCCCUAUCUAGGCCAAGGCCAUGAAGAUAAUUCUCUUCAGUUUUUUUUUUCUUUUUUCUAGUAGCUUUGUUGUUUUGGCUUUCACAUUUUGGUCUAUAAUCCAUCUUGAAUUUUAUGUAUGAUAUGAGGUAGGGUGUCAAGGCUCCUUCCCACCCUCGACCUCGACUCCAUACAGAUAUCCGGUGGCUCUAGUACCAUUUACUGAAAAUACUUUUUCCCCACUAAAUUUUAUUGGCACCUUUGUUGAAAAUCAGGUGACUGUAUAUAUGUUGGCUUACGUGUGAAUUGUUUAUUAUGUUCCCCUGAUCAAUUUGUGUCCUUUUACCAAUCCCAUAUGGUCCUAAUUAGUGUUGCCUUAUUGAAAGUUCCCAUAUUACUAGGUUAUUUGCAUUUCCAUAAAACUUUAAAAUCACUUAAUUUCUGCCAACCUAUUGAAAUUUUGAUCAGGACUGGUUUGUAUCUAUAUAUCAACUUGAAAAUAUUUAAUAUACUUCAAAUAUUGAGAGAGUUUUACUUUUUUCUUUCCAAUUUUUAUGUCCUUUACUUGAACCAAAAUUAAAUAUCUGACUUAGUUCAGGAUUCAUCUUGAUGAGGAAUAUUAGAUGAAAUUUGUCCUCUUGCAUAAAAAUAUUUUGCAGAUCUUCUUGGUACAUUUUAGUGGCUUUUUGUGAAGGAAGUUUUCAGUAACGUAUAUAUUACUUUUUAUGUAACAGUAAGUCAUUAAACCAUGACAGCCUAAGCUGACACUUUCUGCGAGAGGAUAGAUUUAUCAUGAAUUAAACACAGGCUUAUUGCCAAGAUCAUGCUUGGCUACACUGCAACUUGGGUGACCCAGUGAGACUCUGUCUCAAAACAAACAAACAAAAAAGGCUUAAUCAUCAUAUUUUGAGGAUGGCACAGAAGAAAUAAAUAUUCUUUCAG
rnacentral:lncRNA from 1 species